CUCUUAGCCUGGUGGUAGUGUCCAUACAGUGUUAAGUUAAAGGAGUGUUAGAAGCUAAGAAUAGCGCUGGAACACAGAACUUAACCGAUUGUAAUCGCUGUGACCAUACCAUC
rnacentral:rRNA from 3 species